rnacentral:rRNA from 1 species
CCUACGGGAGGCUGCAGUAGGGAAUCUUCCACAAUGGACGAAAGUCUGAUGGAGCAACGCCGCGUGAGUGAAGAAGGGUUUCGGCUCGUAAAGCUCUGUUGGUGGUGACGAAAGAUAGAGGUAGUAACUGGCCUUUAUUUGACGGUAAUUAAUUAGUAAGUCACGGCUAACUACGUGCCAGCAGCCGCGGUAAUACGUAGGUGGCAAGCGUUGUCCGGAUUUAUUGGGCGUAAAGCGAGUGCAGGCGGUUCAAUAAGUCUGAUGUGAAAGCCUUCGGCUCAACCGGAGAACUGCAUCAGAAACUGUUGAACUGGAGUGCAGAAGAGGAGAGUGGAACUCCAUGUGUAGCGGUGGAAUGCGUAGAUAUAUGGAAGAACACCAGUGGCGAAGGCGGCCCUCUGGUCUGCAACUGACGCUGAGGCUCGAAAGCAUGGGUAGCGAACAGGAUUAGAUACCCGAGUAGUC